UGAUGGCGUUUAGAUACCUACGUAGUCAUCUUUCGCUACUUCGAUAGCAUUCGUAGAGAAUUUUACAAAAGUAGAAGAAAUAAAAAAAUCGAUCGAAGAUAAAAGGAUGCCAAUACCGUGAUUCCACUAACGAAGUAUAGCAAAAACGAUAUAGUAGUAGUUUUAUUCGUAGGCCGCGCACACGCCAGCAAGUUAAUUAGCUUAUCGGUGAAUGGUGGAGCCAGUGAGAGCUGAGCGGAAGACUGUUAAGAAACGUCUCGUCAAAACGAAGAGACCAGAGAGAAGCGAAGGUCAUCGAGAGAUAGUCCGGAGCGAAGCGUAGCAAAGCGUAUGAAGCGGCGCGGAGCGGAGUAGAAUGCAGAGUGGAGUGUAGAGCGUAAGAUUGCGGUGCAUUGGGCGCGCAGGCUGCACAUUGCAUGCUAAAUAUAAAAGCAGCUUGCGGGCAGAACGGGUCGGAUCGGAAGAGUGCGCGGCGCGGCGUGGCGUGGCAUGGCGUGGCGUGGCGCGCCGCGCCGUAUGCCUACGCCAUCUUGCAUGGAAGAGUCAUUUGCGUUAGUCCUGCCCACAGAGGGCAGCCUGGCUCCGCCUCCAGUUGCCGGUUGUACAUAAGCAGAACCAUCUUUAUUACCCUCGGGCACUAACCGUAAAGGAAACGAGUCGAGAAGCGGCAAACGAGAGAGCGAGCGAGAUGCGAGCGAGCGUCGAAGAGGGUCGAAGAGGACCCGAUGGGGCCGACGCGACGCGACGGGCCGAGUCUGCUAUCCUGAGGACAAAAGUAAUCGAGAAACGGAAAUGAUCGCGAGGAAGAAGGAGGAGGAAUAGCGAUAAAGAGAUGAACGAAAAGAAGGAAAGAGGCAGGAAGAAUGAAAUGGUGGCAAGCGGAAGAUGGGGAAGAAGGAUAAAAGCGAGAAGAAAGAAUGGGAAGAUAAGAGGAAAGUCUGCGAAGCACACGAUGUUUCCGUGGCAGAAGCGGCUUGUUUACCGCAACCACUAUUAGCUCCCAAUCCAACUACGAGACACCAAGUCCUGCACCGGGCUAAAGACAGGGAUUUCGCUUCCCUUUGCGCGCAAACGCCGUUUCCUUUAUUUAUUUAUCUUUGUCCGCCAACCGCCAGCAAUGCUUGCUCAGUUGUCUUUUCUCCGGCUUUCCAUUAUUCCGUCGUAGGACAGUUUACGUUAGCACUGAAACGAUUCGUCGCUUUGAAGCUGUAACCCAUCAUCGUCGCUGUCUCCGUGGGGAUACACCGUUUUUACCUUGCAACGGUCUCGCGACACCCUUUUUCUUGGAACCUCUUUCUUACCAACUACAAGAACAUACGUCACUAACGUUAUAUAAAUAUAAUUUAAAUGAAUAUAAUUACGUGUACAGGAUUGCCAAAUCAAUUUUAACGAUUUGCAAUAAAACUAUUUUUGUGUAAUAAUUAAAGAUGAAAAACAUGAAUGGAUCGUGUUAAAAGCAAUUAAUUGUAAUUAUUAUUAAUUUCUUAUCAAGUGGUUGAGGGGAAAGAAGCGUUGGCACAAGCGCGACUAAGUCUAAGAUACGAGAGAAGAGCAGUUUAAUCUGGUAUUUCUCUUUGAUAAAGGAGAUCCUUAAUAACAAAUUUUUCCUGUUACCAAGUGAUUAAAGAAAAGGAAUCACACUUAUUCUAGAUCAUAAUAAUAAUUAUUAUAUA